rnacentral:rRNA from 1 species
UGCAGUCGAACGGCAGCAUGGAGAGCUUGCUCUCUGAUGGCGAGUGGCGAACGGGUGAGUAAUAUAUCGGAACGUGCCCAAUAAUGGGGAAUAACUAGCCGAAAGGUUAGCUAAUACCGCAUACGACCUACGGGUGAAAGCAGGGGAUCUUUUGACCUUGCGUUAUUGGAGCGGCCGAUAUCUGAUUAGCUUGUUGGUAGGGUAAAAGCCUACCAAGGCAACGAUCAGUAGCUGGUCUGAGAGGACGAUCAGCCACACUGGAACUGAGACACGGCCCAGACUCCUACGGGAGGCAGCAGUGGGGAAUUUUGGACAAUGGGCGCAAGCCUGAUCCAGCAAUACCGCGUGCAGGAAGAAGGCCUUCGGGUUGUAAACUGCUUUUGUACGGAACGAAAAGGUCUGGGUUAAUACCCUGGGUCCAUGACGGUACCGUAAGAAUAAGCACCGGCUAACUACGUGCCAGCAGCCGCGGUAAUACGUAGGGUGCAAGCGUUAAUCGGAAUUACUGGGCGUAAAGCGUGCGCAGGCGGUUAUGUAAGACAGGCGUGAAAUCCCCGGGCUCAACCUGGGAAUUGCGCUUGUGACUGCAAGGCUAGAGUACGGUAGAGGG